GGCUGCCUGUUUGAAGAUGACCUUUGCAAAUCUUUUGAAGUUUGUGUAAAUGAUGGGAUAUUUGGGAGAUGUCAGCGGGUGCCAGUAAGAGACAUAUAUAAAUACGACAUUUCACCCCUUGUUCUUCAGCGCUUAAGGAUCAUCCUAGAGAAGCUCUCACACAGAGGUUUUACCUGGCAAGAUGACUACACACAGCAUGUUAUUGGUCAGGAGCUCUCAACCAUUCAUAAAAUCCGCACCAGACACCCUGAUAUAUUUCCACCUGGAGGGUCUCAUGGAGGAAGGACUUCAGAAGAGAAUGCA